GAAGGUAUAGACCACAUCCAUCUAAAGGAAGGACAGCCACAAAAGACUGUUAGAUAGCAAGAGAGACAGAGCAAGGAGACAGGGCAGAGGAAACAGGAAGGGAGGAAAAGACUUCUGGAGAGGUUAGAGAGGCUUUUAAAGAGGCUGCAUGGUGAAUUCUGACAGUUUUGGCCUUUGAAGGAUAACCUACACAGUGGCCAUCUGUUCUGCAGCAGAAACACAUUAUAAUCAAGCUGAUAGAAAGUGGGAACAGAGACACAGAAGAACGUGAGACUGAAACAAAGACGAGAAGAAGUGGAUGUGGGAGAGAUCGGGAGUGAGGAGACGAGGAGGAAAGUUUGAGAGAAAGAGCAUUCAGAGAGAGAAAGCUGUCAUUUAGUUAGUGAAAGACAAAAUGUGAAAAUCCAGAAGAAGCUCCGACAGAACGAAGGGAUGAAGGAAGAAACGGAACAAUGAAUAAAGAGCUUUUGAAUCAGGCUGAAAGCUCUUUGAGGAGAAAUUGUGUCACUUGGAACGACUGAUAAAGUUUCAGGAGCGAGGUGCUGCUUGUACCAAUUAUUCCCCCACUGUGUUUGACUGUUGAGGCGUUGAGCGGCACAACGCUGCCCACCAGGAUUAGAGAGGAGGAGGACAGGAAGAGGAGCGUGGAGAGAUAAGAACCUAAUUAGCUUGCAGCCUUUCGUUGCCUCCCCCUCCGUCCUCCCAUCCUCCCAUCCCAGGAGGAUGACAGGCUGAUAUUACAGAUACACAGGCAUGAAGAGAAAAGAGAGAGCUUCCUCUUUUCUUUACAAUGAGUCUGAUGUUGGAGAAAACACAAGAUGGGAAGAGCUUUGUUUCAGUUCCUCUUCGCAUCACUUCCUUCUUUCACAGCGCUCUGCAGCUUCAUGAAGGCCACGUGAAGGUUAUUUUCGGACACUUCUAAAUCAGGGUUUCCACUGGAACUGAAACCAAGGCUGCACCCACCCGUCCAUUUAGUAGCUUCUGAUCACAUGAUCUUAAUCAGCAGAUGAGUUUUUCCAAGUUGUCAUGGAAUUGCAGAUGUUUAAAUUUCCAUUUCUUUCCAGGGCACUUUAAGGACUUCUCAUCCAGCUCCUUACGAUUGUUUUCUCAGAUCAAUAAUGAGCUCAGCUUGAGUCCUGCCAUAUAUUGUUUACUUGUGUAUUUUGUCCUUAAAAAGGAUACAAAACAGUGUGUUUUAAAAUCUCCUCUAACCUG